AUGAUUGUAUAAGUUGAAUUUUUUUAUUAUUCAGAUUGAUAUUUUAAAAAAAAAAUCAUGUAUAGACAUUGAGAUUUAUACAAUCUAGCUUGAAUGUCAUGCAUGUUGAGGAAAUUGACAGACUUGAAAAAAGAGUCAAAUUGAUUUAUUAUUGUAGUUUUAUUAUUAAACCUGCAAGGAAAGUUGCAGAAUGCUAGACAUAGGGCUACUAAUUAGAGGGCAGCAGUGUAAACUUGUAUUUGUAUUUUUAUAAGCAAUGGACAACAAAUAUUUGAUGCACUGAAUGAUUAUAAGG
rnacentral:lncRNA from 1 species